rnacentral:rRNA from 1 species
AAACUUGUCCACUCCUUACGGGGGAGACAGUCAUGAGACGUGAGUAUAAGACCUGAGUGUAAAGACCUUAGGGUGAAGCAAUUGGAGGGCAAGCUUUGGUGCCAGCAGCCGCGGUAACUCCAACUCCAAGAGUGUCUAUGGUGGAUGCUGCAGUUAAAGGGUCCGUAGUCGUGAAUGCAAUUAAAUGUCGUUGUUCAAUAGCGAUGAGUUUGCUAAUGUUUGCGGAACGGAUAGGGAGUGUAGUAUAGACUGGCGAAGAAUGAAAUCUCAAGACCCAGUUUGGACUAACGGAGGCGAAGGCGACACUCUUAGACGUAUCUUAGGAUCAAGGACGAAGGCAGGAGUAUCGAAAGUGAUUAGACACCGCUGUAGUUCCUGCAGUAAACUAUGCCGACAGCCUGUGUGUGAGAAUACGUGGGCGGGAGAAAUCUUAGUGUUCGGGCUCUGGGGAUAGUACGCUCGCAAGGGUGAAACUUAAAGCGAAAUUGACGGAAGGACACUACCAGGAGUGGAUUGUGCUGCUUAAUUUAACUCAACGCGGGAAAACUUACCAGGGUCAAGUCAUUCGUUGAUCGAAUACGUGAGAAUGGCAGGAGUG